rnacentral:rRNA from 1 species
UACCAGCUCUCCGAGUGGUAGGGAUGAUUAUUGGGCUUAAAGCGUCCGUAGCCGGCUUAGCAAGUCUCCUGUUAAAUUCAGCGACCUAAUCGUUGAGCCGCGGGAGAUACUACUAGGCUAGGAGGCGGGAGAGGUCAACGGUACUUCCGGGGUAGGGGUGAAAUCCUAUAAUCCCGGGAGGACCACCAGUGGCGAAGGCUGUUGACUAGAACGCGCUCGACGGUGAGGGACGAAAGCUGGGGGAGCGAACCGGAUUAGAUACCCGGGUAGUCCCAGCUGUAAACGAUGCGAGCUAGGUGUUGGGGUGGCUACGUGCCACUUCAGUGCCGCAGGGAAGCCAUUAAGCUCGCCGCCUGGGGAGUACGGCCGCAAGGCUGAAACUUAAGGAAUUGGCGGGGAGCACACAAGGCGUGAAGCUUGCGGUUC